AACGAACGCUGGCGGCAGGCUUAACACAUGCAAGUCGAGCGCCCCGCAAGGGGAGCGGCAGACGGGUGCGUAACGCGUGGGAACGUACCUUUUGGUUCGGAACAACUCCGGGAAACUGGAGCUAAUACCGGAUAAGCCCUAACGGGGAAAGAUUUAUCGCCGAAAGGUCGGCCCGCGUCUGAUUAGCUAGUUGGUGAGGUAACGGCUCACCAAGGCGACGAUCAGUAGCUGGUCUGAGAGGAUGAUCAGCCACACUGGGACUGAGACACGGCCCAGACUCCUACGGGAGGCAGCAGUGGGGAAUAUUGGACAAUGGGCGCAAGCCUGAUCCAGCCAUGCCGCGUGAGUGAUGAAGGCCUUAGGGUUGUAAAGCUCUUUUGUCCGGGAAGAUAAUGACUGUACCGGAAGAAUAAGCCCCGGCUAACUUCGUG
rnacentral:rRNA from 1 species